rnacentral:rRNA from 1 species
GACGAACGCUGGCGGCGUGCCUAAUACAUGCAAGUCGAGCGAGACUCUUCGGAGUCUAGCGGCGGACGGGUGAGUAACACGUGGGCAACCUGCCUGUAAGACUGGGAUAACACCGGGAAACCGGUGUUAAUACCGGAUAAUCCUUUUCCUCUCAUGAGGAAAAGCUGAAAGUCGGUUUCGGCUGACACUUACAGGUGGGCCCGCGGCGCAUUAGCUAGUUGGUGAGGUAACGGCUCACCAAGGCGACGAUGCGUAGCCGACCUGAGAGGGUGAUCGGCCACACUGGGACUGAGACACGGCCCAGACUCCUACGGGAGGUAGCAGUAGGGAACCUUCCACAAUGGACGAAAGUCUGAUGGAGCAACGCCGCGUGAGCGAUGAAGGCCUUCGGGUCGUAAAGCUCUGUUGUUAGGGAAGAACAAGUACCGGAGUAACUGCCGGUACCUUGACGGUACCUAACCAGAAAGCCACGGCUAACUACGUGCCAGCAGCCGCCGUAAGAC